GCGGUAAUGAGUUAUGUUACUGGGGACCAGGACACAAGCACUGACGGACAGAUUAGCAAAGCUGCCCUUAUCUGGGCUGAACUGUCCGUUGGUAGAGAACAGAGCCCAAAAGGAUUACGACAGACGAUGGGACACUUUGAUAUGUGGGGAAGCGGGUAUUGGAUGUUCAAGGGGCUGUCAGGGUGACUGGAGUGAGGGAAGCCUGAAGGUUAGGGGUGGGAGACCCAGAGAGGGGGGUGCCAACAUGUACAAACCCAGCUUUGCAGUGCUGUGAGCUCCAUCACUUCCACUACCAGAGCUGGUAAUGCCCUAAGUCCAGUGUGGCUGCUGUUAACAUUAUAUUACUAGAAUCACUCUCUAUAUGACUUAUUGAUGUAUCGGCAUCAUUUAUUCAUCUUAUUUUUUUUAAUUUAUUGGGUAUUUUAAAAUUUAUUGUCUUUCGGGUUUUGGUCUUUUGUCUUUUUGCUGGAGGAAGAUUCCCCCUGAGCUAACAUCUGUGCCAAUCUUCCUCUAUUCUGCAUGUGGGUCACCACCACAGCAUGACCACUGAUGAGUGUGUAGGCCUGCACCCGCGAACCGAACCCAGGCCACCGAAGCAGAGAGCACCAAACUCAACUCCAGGCUGUGAGGCCGGCCCUUCAUUCAUCUUCUUUACAUUCGCUGAGCACGGUGGUGAUCCCUCCCUACCCCUGCUAUUGACCAGGAUGAGAGAAGCAGCUGGACUGCGUGUCUCAUCACCAAAAGCCAGACCAGGCUUCUUCAAAUGGCGGCAGUCACGGGGCUCCAAAAACAGCAAGAGAGGACAAGUCCCACUGCACAGGUGCAUUUCAGCCUCUGCCUGUUCCACAGCAGCCGCAGCAAUCACGUGACAGAGCCCAGUGUCCAGUGGGAGAGGGUAUGAAUCCAAGGAGGGGAUGACGUUGGGGCCAUUUUUGCAAUCUACCACAAGGAUUAAAUGAACCACCAAGCAGGCUGUCCUUUAGUAAUACAUCCCUCUUAUAAGAAUGUCUCUUCUUUUUUUUUUUUUUUUAAAGAUUUUAUUUUUUCCUUUUUUUUUUUUUCUCCCCAAAGCCCCCCAGUACAUAGUUGUAUAUUCUUUGUUGUGGGUCCUUCUAGUUGUGGCAUGUGGGACGCUGCCUCAGCGUCGUUUGAUGAGCAGUGUCAUGUCCGCGCCCAGGAUUCGAACCAACGAAACACUGGGCCGCCUGCAGCAAGCGCGCGAACUUAACCGCUCAGCCACGGGGCCAGCCCCAAGAAUGUCUCUUCUUUACCUGACUUCUAAUAGAUGGUCAAUAAGCAUUUAAUGGAUGUGUAAGUGAAUAAUACACAAUGAAAGAAAGAAAAGAAGGAGUGAAUGACUAAGCAACAAGUGAGAGGGUGAGUGAGUGAGUGAAUGGAGGUGUAAUAUUCAGAGUACCUAAACAAUACU
rnacentral:lncRNA from 1 species